rnacentral:rRNA from 1 species
GUUUUGAUUUGAAAGGCGCUUUCGGGUGUCACUGAUGGAUGGACCCGCGGUGCAUUAGCUAGUUGGUGAGGUAACGGCUCACCAAGGCCACGAUGCAUAGCCGACCUGAGAGGGUGAUCGGCCACAUUGGGACUGAGACACGGCCCAAACUCCUACGGGAGGCAGCAGUAGGGAAUCUUCGGCAAUGGACGAAAGUCUGACCGAGCAACGCCGCGUGAGUGAAGAAGGUUUUCGGAUCGUAAAACUCUGUUGUUAGAGAAGAACAAGGAUGAGAGUAACUGUUCAUCCCUUGACGGUAUCUAACCAGAAAGCCACGGCUAACUACGUGCCAGCAGCCGCGGUAAUACGUAGGUGGCAAGCGUUGUCCGGAUUUAUUGGGCGUAAAGCGAGCGCAGGCGGUUUCUUAAGUCUGAUGUGAAAGCCCCCGGCUCAACCGGGGAGGGUCAUUGGAAACUGGGAGACUUGAGUGCAGAAGAGGAGAGUGGAAUUCCAUGUGUAGCGGUGAAAUGCGUAGAUAUAUGGAGGAACACCAGUGGCGAAGGCGGCUCUCUGGUCUGUAACUGACGCUGAGGCUCGAAAGCGUGGGGAGCAAACAGGAUUAGAUACCCUGGUAGUCCACGCCGUAAACGAUGAGUGCUAAGUGUUGGAGGGUUUCCGCCCUUCAGUGCUGCAGCUAACGCAUUAAGCACUCCGCCUGGGGAGUACGACCGCAAGGUUGAAACUCAAAGGAAUUGACGGGGGCCCGCACAAGCGGUGGAGCAUGUGGUUUAAUUCGAAGCAACGCGAAGAACCUUACCAGGUCUUGACAUCCUUUGACCACUCUAGAGAUAGAGCUUCCCCUUCGGGGGCAAAGUGACAGGUGGUGCAUGGUUGUCGUCAGCUCGUGUCGUGAGAUGUUGGGUUAAGUCCCGCAACGAGCGCAACCCUUAUUGUUAGUUGCCAUCAUUCAGUUGGGCACUCUAGCAAGACUGCCGGUGACAAACCGGAGGAAGGUGGGGAUGACGUCAAAUCAUCAUGCCCCUUAUGACCUGGGCUACACACGUGCU